GUUUGUAACCAAUUAUUUUUCCUCUUGGUAGCUAUCUGGUGCUGAUUUGGAUGCUCAAUCUAAUGUAUCAAACACAAACAAAGGAGGAAUUAAGUGUAAGAUAUUGGAUUGGUUUUCAAAAGAUGAAGUUGUUGUCGGGGAAUCAGACAACAACUCUCCAACUGAGCAUAACAUGAUCUUUUAAGAAGUAAAUUUGCAUGUGCAGCUGCCAUCAAUUAUGGGGAAAUGGAUGACAUGAACGCUGCAAACAUGAUCUUGGUUGGUAUCCCCCUUGACGAACCACACUUGAAGAAUCAUCUGUCUAUUCUCGUAAAUACAGAGAAGAAUGAUCUCAAAGCAUGAAGUCUUCCUGUGACCGAAUCAUACUAUCUCAUGGGCACAGUAGAUCCCACCGGAGAGCUAAAGGAAGAUGAAGUAUGUGUCAUCCUGUAUGUUACUCCCCUAUUCUCUUACUUUCAUUUUGAUUUUUACAUGGAAACAAGAAACAGUGAUUUGCUUUUAGUUGUUCAUUUCAGGGUAAUCCUGCAAAACUCACUUCGAUAACAUAUGUCUUAGUAUGUAACAAUCUGGUAUUCUUAAAGAGAUAUGUGAAGAAUCACGAUGACAAGCAGCUGGUGACUGAGUUGAUGGCUAUAUAUCGUGCAUCAUAGAUUAUAAGGCUUGUCUAGGAUCUUGGUUUGUAUCUUUGAAUAUCUGAAAAACCUCAAUUUUAGGCUUUUUAAAUAUCAAUUUGAUCCGGAUCGGAACCGUUUCUCUCACUCUCUCUCUAUAUAUGCUUAAAGUUGUAUUUUUGAAUCUCUUUUUUGAUAUAUUAGCGUAGAAACAACAAUGCAGCCAAAGAGAAAGAGCUGAAGGGGACAUGUGAAUCCAAAUUCUA